AAUAGCUACGGAAUCAAAAUCUGUAGCUAUUAUACUACGGAAUAUGCUACGGAAUGUCUUGUCGUAGCUAUAUUGCUACGGAAAUGGUUAUGGAAUUGCAUUCCAUAGCUAUAUCCUAAAUAGCUACGGAAAGUUGCUACGGAAUCAAAAUUGUAGUUAUUUAACUACGAAAUAUGCUACAGAAUGGCUGGUCGUAGCUAUUUUGCUACGAAAAGGGCUAUGGAAAUGCAUUUCGUAGGUAAAUCCUAAAUAGUUGUUACGAAAUCAAAAUUCCGUAGCUAUUUUACUACAAAAUAUGCUACCGAAUUGUUGGUUAUAGCUAGUUCGCUAUGAAACUUGUUAUAUAAUUCAUAUAUGUAGCUAGUUAGCUACAUAACUAGCUACCAAAUUAAAAUUCGUAGGUAGUUGGCUACGAAAUUGAAAUUCGUAGCUACUUUUGCUACAAAAAUUUGCUACACAAUAAAAUUUUGUAGCUAAUCUACUAUAGAACUUUUUACGAAAAUCUUAACCAUAGUUACUUGUGUAUACAACUUGUUUUUUGAUUUGUAAAAUAGCAACGAAAACAUAUUCCGUACCUAUUUGGCUACGAAAUAUUUCGUAGUCAAGUAGCUACAGAAUAUGUUUCGAUAGCAAAAAAUAGAAAAUUGUUUUUAAUGGUAGUUAAAAAAAGAAAAAGUAAUCAUGAUAGAUUAAAGAGGAUGGUCUCCACUAGCAAACUAGUAAUAUCACUUAAGAAUAUUGGGUAUAUUAGUUGAUAAAUGUUUUAUAAAUCGUACCACUUCCAUUUAGGAACUGUGAGUUAGUAAAAAUAUAAAAACAUUUGAAGGGUAAUUUGGUAAAUUAAGUAUUAAGGGGCUUAGAGUAAAGAUGAGAAUAUAAAGGGCUUAAAUUAAAUAAAUGGAAUCAAGUUUGGUAAUGCUCAGACUACUUUAUCAUGUUCAUAAAAUUUAUUCUUGAAGAGAGAUUCUAGAUCUAGGACAGACAGAAGCAAUGCCAUUUCAGACCAAACACGAUGAAGAGCUAACUAUUUCCAGUCCCUAGCAUGGAUUGACUUUAUGAGGUUUUUCCAGCAAUAACACUCCGGCGUGGCUGAAGUAGCUUCAAUAGAGAGAGAGAGAGAGAGAUAACGAGAGCGUGAUGAAGAGGAAGAGAAUUAGACAUUCACUACUCAGAUUUCUGGCGAAGGUUUGGUGAUUGAAUGAAGUGCUCCGGUGAAGUGGUUACGAAGGAUUUCAGCUAUUUGAUUACAGAGGUCGGAAGUUGAGUCGAUGGUAGGGACGAGUCUAAUCUCCAAUGUAUCUAAUAACCGGAAAGCAGUAACUUCGACGAAGAAACUAAGUGGAUCAAGUUUAAUCUAGAGUCGGAUCAGUACAUAUGUGUAAUUGUCAUGUAUACGAAUUGAUUAGUUGCGGUAUUAGCUAAGUUAGUGUACAUAGAUCAAAGGUGAGGUUGGAUCUGUGCUUGAAAACAUUUUUCUGACAGAGCAUCUACUUUUCGGAGAAGAUCAGGUAACUCCGACGAGAGCAUUAUGCUCGGGCCAGUCGCGUGAGAGAUACGAUGUGAUCUAUAUGAUUUUUCUGCAACAUUAACCCUAUGUGCUUCUUUGGAGAGGCGUCCAUGGUGUUGGACGACAGUGAGAUCUGUGGUGGAGUCUGGCGUGACCUAUAGACUGUCUCUCAUACAUGGAAAGUUCCAUUCAAUUUCCAAAUUGACUUCCAUUGAUGAGAUUUCAGGAAUAAAUUAGAGGCCGCUAAUAAAUAUUCCAGUAUGAACUACAAACAUCCUCUGCUACGCUUCGCCCCCAAAUCCUGUAAAUCCUCUUGUCUGCUCUGCCUAUAGCCCCCUGCUCCCUCAAUCGCUAGGUACGUUCCAUCCAUUUUUCUCUAUUCUGGUAUUGAAAAAUCUAAAACAUUUUCAGCAAGAAUGUUGAGUUCUAGAAGAUUUUCUAAUUACUUAUUAAAUUAAAUGUUUGUGAUGUCUAAUUUCAGUAAGUACUAUUGUUACAGAGUAGUUUGGUCCAUUUUAGCAAUUUUCCAGUAAUUGGUUUUGUAAAUUAGAUCCUCUUGAACAAUGUUUAGCUUUUGAGAACUAUGAACACCAUAGUAGCUUCUCUAAAUGUUGUGGUAGAGUUAAUGAGUUUAAGGGAGAAAACGUUCACGACACAUUUCGUUUGAUUAUUGUAGUGUUAAUUGGCUUAGUGCUCAGUAUUAAAAGAACCAUCGACAUUACAAAUCAUACCAAAAAGAUAAAACAUAACUCAGAGAAAAUAUAUAAGGUUCACAUAAGUCCAUAUGCAUUCAUUGAAUAGUUCAAUUAUCAUAUUUUUAACUAGCAACAUGUUAUUUGACUGAGAUUAUUGAUUGCUUUCUUGGAGUUAAGAACUAAACAUACCCUGAUAAAAAACCACAUGAUGCAAUCAUAAUCAAGAAACCAAAUGAUAUCCAUCUAAUGAUCUAAAUCAUAAGUCCAAAAAAAUUUAUUUUUUUGUGUAAUAUACAUUAAAUCACAAUUGGCAGAAAUUAAAGAAAUUCCUCCAUUUCUUUAUGGCACAUGUUGUUAUCUAAUAAUUGCUCUAGCAUUAUCAUAAAAAUUAUGUCGUUUGGGCUGCAACUCCUGGAUAGAUAAUCCACUACACCACCAUUGUAAUUGUUACUAUAUUCCACAAGAUUUUGAGUUCCUGAUAUGCCAUCUCCUAAAUUGCCUCAUCCAAGAUUCUUCUUGGCUGCACGUAGACUCACUUGUAAAGGCUAAAAGCACAUAAAGGAACAUCUAAUCAUUGACAAAUGGACUGACUGUAAGAUUUAUUUAAAAAAAAUACUUUAUUUAAGAAAAUAAUAUGAUUUUAAUUUCUUUAUGAAUGAUGCAAGUGGAUUGCAGGAGUAAUGAUGGUGAUGAUGGGGCAUUGAGAGCUAUUGAUCUUUAAUAUGAUACUGCGUUGAUUUCUAGUGGUUUCACUGUUCUGCGAUUUUGGUUAAGAUUAUCAAUUUCUGGAUUGGAGCUAGUUGUGGCAUUUAAGGCCAACUUUACUUCCAUCUCACUCUCGAACCAGCCGUAAGGAAAGAUGUCACAAUUCAUAUUAAGAGGAGCAUAUGGUGAUAAUCAAAGGAAAAGAAAGGUGCUCAAACAUUGCAAUGAAAGCAAAAUACAAAUAUGGUGAUAGAAUAUUAUGUAUCGAAUAAUGUUUUUCAUUAAAUUUGUAGCGACUUUUGAUUUUGAAAUAUGUAUCUUUUGAUGUGUUGGAUAUGUCUUUUAGUUUCUAUAGAAAUACUUUGUUAUUUUUGGUUUUAUAUUAAUUGUAUUUUUGUAAA